CGGGAGAGCCAGCGGACUGGCCCCUCGCCAAUCCGGUCAGGACCGAAAGGUAGCAGCCGUAACGAGUAAGGUCGGGGUCGUUUGGCCCUCCCACCCCA
rnacentral:SRP_RNA from 1 species